ensembl:lncRNA
GGAAGACUACUCUGUUGCAAGAGAAGGUGGCCGCUUCCCAAAGCACUUUCCCAGGGUCUUAUUAUGUUUUAAAGGAUCAUAAUGAAAUAAUAGCAUGUAAACAUUGUUGAAACAGAUUUUUUUUAACCUUUCCGCAUAUGAGGACUCUUACUAUACAUAAAUAUUAUAGGCUAUUACAUGAGAGCUAUAAAACCUUGAAAAAACUUACCUGUAUUUCGAGAAUGCUUUCAUGACGGUGGGAAAGAGAGCUGUGAAGAACACCCUCUGCCAGGAGUUGAGAGCUGCUUCUCAGAGACCCUGGCCAGUGCUAACCAGCUGUUUGCAUGGCCGCAGUCUCUCCAGGACACACAUUCAAAAGAUCGGGCCCGGCUGAAGUCCUCAAAGGGCCAGUAACUUCCAACUAGCCCAGGCCUGGUGGAGAAGCUCCCACAAACUCCAGUACUUUUCAGUUUGGGGGACAGCCAGAGGCCCAAGAACACAGCCUGAGGCCUCCUGAACAUCCCCACUGAUGGCUUCUGAAUGCCUCCCUGCCAACCAGUUGUAGUAACCAAUUUAGAGGGCCACAGGAAUUAAGAACUUGAGUUUCAAAUCCACACCAUCUGGAACCUCUAAAGAUUCAUCACUAACCUCAUCAUCACCAGCCUCAGAUGCCUCAUCUGUAAAAUGAGAAACAUCCCUAAAAAAGCUUUAAAAAAAAACUGUCUGGCAUGAAAGAAGCCCUGAUUUAAUGGCAAAUAAUUUUAUUUCCACUACUAUUUGGCAUAACUCACCACUGGAUUUGAACUUUUCAGGGCAGCUCUUGUUCCCUGGCAACACUUCUUCCAUUUGUAACAUUUGUUCAUGCUCUGAAUCUUCACUGCUUUACCAAACAGCUCCAUCCAGACCCAUCUGAGGGUUCCCCCAUCUGUUCCGGUUAAUCGGACUCAUCACAGGUAUCUCCCAGCCCAUGCCAUUUUCUGUUUAGCAUCCUGACCAGUGAAUUCCCCACAAUGCCCGCUGG